rnacentral:rRNA from 1 species
CCUACGGGAGGCAGCAGUGGGGAAUAUUGGGCAAUAGGCGCAAGCCUGACCCAGCAAUGCCGCGUGAAGGAAGAAGGCUUUCGGGUUGUAAACUGCUUUGACAGGGGAAGAGCAGAAGACGGUACCCUGAAAACAAGCCACGGCUAACUACGUGCCAGCAGCCGCGGUAAUACGUAGGUGGCAAGCGUUGUCCGGAUUUACUGGGUGUAAAGGGCGUGUAGCCGGGAAGGCAAGUCAGAUGUGAAAUCUGGAGGCUCAACCUCCAAAUUGCAUUUGAAACUGUUUUUCUUGAGUACUGGAGAGGCAGACGGAAUUCCUUGUGUAGCGGUGAAAUGCGUAGAUAUAAGGAGGAACACCAGUGGCGAAGGCGGUCUGCUGGACAGCAACUGACGGUGAGGCGCGAAAGCGUGGGGAGCAAACAGGAUUAGAUACCCCGGUAGUC